UUUGCUUAGGUCUGUGGUUGAAAAUCGAUGCCAGUCGCAGGCGAAACGAUCCACGUAAGAAGUCCAAAGAGGCUUUGAGCAUGGUGCGGCUUAGAUAUAAGCCCUGCCGAAUUGGGAAGUGGGAGGCGGGAAAGUUCCGCCAACGAGUUUCUUGCACUGAUCCAUUGUAAUCAUUCGAGAGGAGUAGUAGUGAGGGGUUGAAUUCCUAGUAGCGAACCUUCCGGCAGGCGAGUGUGGGGGCAAAGACCAGGUCGGCUAAGCAAU
rnacentral:ncRNA from 19 species